AUACGUAGGUGCCAAGCGUUAUCCGGAUUUACUGGGCGUAAAGGGCGUGUAGGCGGUCUUGCAAGUCAGAAGUGAAAUUCCUGAGCUCAACUCGGGCGCUGCUUCUGAAACUGCAGGACUUGAGUGCUGGAGGGGAUAGCGGAAUUCCUAGUGGAGCGGUAAAAUGCGCAGAUAUUAGGAAGAACACCGGUGGCGAAGGCGGCUAUCUGGCCAAUAACUGACGCUGAGGAGCGAAAGCGAGGGGAGAAAACAGGAUUAGAUACCCUGGUAGUCCACGCCAUAAACGAUGAAUACUAGGUGUAGGGGGUAUCGACCCCCGCUGUGCCGACGUUAACACAUUAAGUAUUCCACCUGGGGAGUACGGCCGCAAGGCUGAAACUCAAAGGAAUUGACGGG
rnacentral:rRNA from 1 species